CCGGUGAGGUGGAAACGGACAGAGCUGGCGUAUCUGGCCUGUGUUCAGCCGUGUGCCCGAUGGCGCCGGGGAUGCCGCUCUCCAGAUUGGGACGGUGACCCGGUUGUGCCGGCGGGCUCGUGGUGCAUUGGCAGGUGGAGUGCGCUGAGGCGCUCGGUGCAGCGGCAUGAGCUCUGGCUUGAGGCCAGCCACGCAAGUGGUCUGGUACCCGGACAGGGGGAGUGCUGUUUGUGCUGGGUGUUGUGUGUGGGCAGUGGUCUCGGGCCCGGGUUGGGCCGAGCGGGCAGUGGGCGGCGGUCGCGUGCGACACGUGCCUGCGGUCAGUUCGGUCCCGCUCGUGGCUCCCACUUUGUCUCGCCUCGGUGUAAAAGCCGGUCAUCUGUCCGACCCGUCUUGAAACACGGACCAAGGAGUUUAGCGUGUGCGCGAGUCAUUGGGUGUUGAAAACCUAAAGGCGCAAUGAAAGUGAAGGUCUGCCUUGUGCAGCUGAUGUGUGAUCCUGGCCACUGCGGUGCGUCCGGGCGCAACAUAGUCCCGUCCCGAUUGCAUGCAAUGGGGCGGAGACAGAGCGUACGCGCUGAG
rnacentral:rRNA from 1 species